rnacentral:rRNA from 1 species
CCUACGGGAGGCAGCAGUGGGGAAUUUUGCGCAAUGGGGGCAACCCUGACGCAGCAACGCCGCGUGAGUGAUGAAGGCCUUCGGGUCGUAAAGCUCUGUCAGAGGGGAAGAAAUGCAGGUGGUGAACAACCAUUCUGUUUGACGGUACCCUCAAAGGAAGCACCGGCUAACUCCGUGCCAGCAGCCGCGGUGAUACGGAGGGUGCGAGCGUUGUUCGGAAUUAUUGGGCGUAAAGCGCGUGUAGGCGGUUUGGUAAGUCGGAGGGAAAAGCCCCGGGCGCAACCUGGGAAGUGCAUUGGAUACUGGCAGACUGGAGUACGGGAGAGGAUAGUGGAAUUCCAAGUGUAGGAGUGAAAUCCGUAGAUAUUGGGAGGACCACCGGUGGCGAAGGCGGCUCUCUGGACCGAUACUGACGCUGAGACGCGAAAGCGUGGGGAGCAAACAGGAUUAGAUACCCCUGUAUU